UACGUAGGAUGCAAGCGUUGUCCGGAAUUAUUGGGCGUAAAGAGCGAGCAGGCGGUUUGGAAAGUUGGACGUGAAAUUUUAGGGCUUAACCCUAAAGGGUCGUCCAAAACUCCCAGACUAGAGUGCAGGAGAGGAAAGCGGAAUUCCCGGUGUAGUGGUGAAAUGCGUAGAUAUCGGGAGGAACACCAGAGGCGAAGGCGGCUUUCUGGCCUGUAACUGGACGCUGAGGCGCGAAGGCUGGGGUAGCGAACAGG
rnacentral:rRNA from 1 species